rnacentral:rRNA from 1 species
UACAGAGGGUGCAAGCGUUAAUCGGAGUUACUGGGCGUAAAGCGUACGUAGGCGGAUACUUAAGUCGGGCGUGAAAGCCCCGGGCUUAACCUGGGAAUUGCGUUCGAUACUGGGUAUCUAGAGUAUGGGAGAGGAAAGUAGAAUUUCCGGUGUAGCGGUGGAAUGCGUAGAUAUCGGAAAGAAUACCAGUUGCGAAGGCGGCUUUCUGGACCAAUACUGACGCUGAGGUACGAAAGCGUGGGGAGCAAACAGGAUUAGAUACCCCCGUA